rnacentral:tRNA from 1 species
GUCAGAAUGGCCGAGUGGUCUAAGGCGCCAGAUUCAAGUUCUGGUCCAUGUAUGUGGGCGUGGGUUCGAAUCCCACUUCUGACA